UGGAGGCAAGUGAUGAUUAUUUGCAUAGCUUAAAUGAUAUUUGUCUCUGAUUAAUAUUAACUUAAUUAGUCUUUCGCUACUAUCUGAUGACUCAU